CUUUACCAACAUAAAUAAUAAUAACAACAAUAAUUCAUUAACCUCUUACCUCCAGUUCCACUCAGCUUGUCCUCCAGCCACAGUCUGGAACCUCUACCUCCUGCCUUGUCCCCUCUCCUCACAGCCCCCAGAGAAAUGAUUAACUACUUCUGGAGGGGCAAUUAAUCUCCCUCAGUAGUUAACUUUUCACAGGCUGCUGCCAACCCCAACAGGGCAGGUGUGUGAGGCAGCAGCAUCUUUCUCCAGGGCUCACCCAUGCAGGGCUGAGCCACUUUUGGGGAAAGGCCCCUAGAGCAGCACUGGUGUGAGGUGAAAUCCAGCACGGGGUGGCCCUGGGUAAUGAGAGGGGGCAGGUGAGGGUUAUUAGGGGCCUCUAGCCCCCCCAAAAUCAGCCCUUGAGGGCCAGAGCAAGGGUUUGGCCCACUGCAGGUGGACUCACAGCAGAAGCAGGAUGAUCUUGACUAAUUCUCAUUAGAUUAUUAAUGAAAAGCUGGUGGGUUAUAAAUUAGAAAGUAAGAGCUGAUCUCUGUGGGCCCAACUCCUCAGCUGACAUCCAGCAUCUAACUCUGGCUUUUGGAGUGGUGGCAGAGAGUCUCAAAGAGAUUCAACAGCAUCCAGGCAACAAGAGCUCUUACGAGAAAGCUCAGGUGAACGUGUCUCAAGUAUACAUCCAGGAAUGGCUCAGCCAGCUAACAGGGGAGCUGAUCCAACUGUUUUGGAGCUUUGAGCUGAAGUGAUGGAGGGAAAGCCAUGCAGGCUGUAGUGGAAGUAGAGCUGAAGCCAAAGGACCGGUUGAGCUCCUCAGAACCCAUUACUCCAACUGGUAAAAAAAGAGAUUAAUUUCUCUCUGCAAACUCUGCCUCACUAUGAACUCUUCUGCAUAAUGUCAUUAUUUGGACUAUGAUGGAAAAAGAGAGGCAGGAAAAUAUGUAAUGUAAUGUUGUUCUUUCAAAGAUAGCAUGCAGUUCUCACCUAAUACUGCUGGUGUAUUGGGCAGUUAUAAAAUACUGGGUGGGGGAUUUUCCAACAGAGUAUUGGCAGAAAUUUGCCAAUUCUGUGUGAGC
rnacentral:lncRNA from 1 species